CUCGACGCUUCGAUAUCUUCUUCCUGUCUAGUGCAUGAAAUGAACGAGUGCAAACGUACUUUGUAUGCUUUGCUCUUUGUAAAAAUAAGUGAUUUGGUAGUGGUUGAGUUGUUAUUUUCAUAAUAAAAUUUACCCAGUAGGACUAUGAAUUUUAAUACCGACUUACAAAGUUGCAAGUGAAUCGAUAACCUUACAUUUAUUUCACUAAUUCUCAUAAAUUACGUGGACAAAUGUGACUCUGUUCCUGCGAUCAGCAUAACUUGAAAAUCUUAGUUUUCCAUGGCACCUAGUACGACAGAGAGGUUUUUGGCAUUAAUCAGCAGAAAAUUACAACUGCAUACGCCUACUACAGCUAUGCUUUUGUGAUUUCCAAAGGAACUAUUCAAGCUGGAAGGAAAAUCACAUUGAAAUGCUCAAAUUACCUAAACACCUCCACUCGAUUGAACAUGUUGGAUUAAAUCGUUAAAUUAAAUUCGUUGACUUGUUAAGUGAUGGAGUACUUAGUCCGAAUCGUCCAGGCGAGAUGUAUAUUAAAACGUCCAACAUCAGCAUUGGUUAUUAUAUAAAUAACAAAACAACCAAACAAGCUUUCGAAGAUGGUGCUGUACAGAAGAGAUUGAAAACAACAAUUAACAAUUAACAAAAUUUAGUUAUUUUGAGAAGAUCAAUCCAUUUUAUCCCUGAAUUUUAGAGAUAGAAAGAUUUUUUAUUUACGUGAAAAAUAUAUAUAAAUAAAGCCUAAAGUUAUUAAGCCCAUAUCUAAUACUUCGAUCAUGCGUUUUUGGCUACAAGAGAUUCGAAAUUAAAAAAAAAAGUUGUUGAUCUGAAACACUGAUUUUUUUCGAUAUAAAUAUUUGACUUUCGGGGUAUCGUUUUACUACCAUAGGUAACGACUGACAAUAGUAAUAUUUUUCUUAACUUCAACAUUAUUAUUAUGCUGUAUAGUCACAUUUAUCACUGUAUUUGUUUUCGUGAUAAACCUAAAUAUUUUUUUCUUUUUCUACUAUACAUUUAAUAACACCAGGAUUUAUUCAUUAAUAAAAAAUUCAUGUUUAUUUGGUAUCUAAACGGUAUACAAUGGCUAUCACCUAAAGACUACAUUUGCAAGUUUUU